rnacentral:rRNA from 1 species
GACGAACGCUGGCGGCGUGCUUAACACAUGCAAGUCGAACGGAAAGGCCCUGCUUUUGUGGGGUGCUCGAGUGGCGAACGGGUGAGUAACACGUGAGUAACCUGCCCUUGACUUUGGGAUAACUUCAGGAGACUGGGGCUAAUACCGGAUAGGAGCUCCUGCUGCAUGGUGGGGGUUGGAAAGUUUCGGCGGUUGGGGAUGGACUCGCGGCUUAUCAGCUUGUUGGUGGGGUAGUGGCUUACCAAGGCUUUGACGGGUAGCCGGCCUGAGAGGGUGACCGGCCACAUUGGGACUGAGAUACGGCCCAGACUCCUACGGGAGGCAGCAGUGGGGAAUAUUGCACAAUGGGCGGAAGCCUGAUGCAGCAACGCCGCGUGCGGGAUGACGGCCUUCGGGUUGUAAACCGCUUUCGCCUGUGACGAAGCGUGAGUGACGGUAAUGGGGAAAGAAGCACCGGCUAACUACGU